UACGGGAGGCAGCAGUGGGGAAUAUUGCACAAUGGGCGCAAGCCUGAUGCAGCCAUGCCGCGUGUAUGAAGAAGGCCUUCGGGUUGUAAAGUACUUUCAGUCGUGAGGAAGGUGUUAAGGUUAAUAACCUUAGCAAUUGACGUUAGCGACAGAAGAAGCACCGGCUAACUCCGUGCCAGCAGCCGCGGUAAUACGGAGGGUGCGAGCGUUAAUCGGAAUUACUGGGCGUAAAGGGCACGCAGGCGGUUAAUUAAGUUGGAUGUGAAAUCCCCGGGCUUAACCUGGGAAUGGCAUUCAAGACUGGUUAGCUAGAGUCUUGUAGAGGGGGUAGAAUUCCAUGUGUAGCGGUGAAAUGCGUAGAGAUGUGGAGGAAUACCGGUGGCGAAGGCGGCCCCUGGGACAAAGACUGACGCUCAUGUGCGAAAGCGUGGGGAGCAAACGAGGAUUAGGACCUACCCUGUGAAC
rnacentral:rRNA from 1 species